UUUCCGUAGGUGAACCUGCGGAAGGAUCAUUAUUGUAUAACCGAGGUGCGAGGGCUGUCGCUGACCCGACAGGUCGUGCACGCCCGAGGGCCCUCACACACAUCCAUCUCACCCCUAUGUGCACCACCGCGUGGGUCCCCCUUUGGCUUGUUCGGAGGGGGGCUUACGUUUUCACACAAACUUUGUAUGCAGUGUAGAAUGUAUUUUUUGUUUUUGCGAUCACGCAAUCAAUACAACUUUCAACAACGGAUCUCUUGGCUCUC
rnacentral:misc_RNA from 1 species